rnacentral:rRNA from 1 species
GAUGAACGCUGGCGGCGUGCCUAAUACAUGCAAGUCGAGCGAACGGACGAGAGGCUUGCUUCUCUGAUGUUAGCGGCGGACGGGUGAGUAACAUGUGGAUAACCUACCUAUAAGACUGGGAUAACUUCGGGAAACCGUAGCUAAUACCGGAUAAUAUUUUGACCCGCAUGGUUCAAACGUGAAAUACGGUCUUGCUGUCACUUAUAGAUGGAUCCGCGCUUCAUUAGCUAGUUGGUAAGGUAACGGCUUACCAAGGCAACGAUGUAUAGCCGACCUGAGAGGGUGGUCGGCCAGACAGGAUCUGAGGCACGUUCCAGACUCCUACAGGAAGCCACAGCAGGGAAUCUUCAGCAAGGUAGGAGUGCGGAACAUGGCAACACCGCGGGAGUGCUGAAGGUCUUCGGAUCGGAUACCUCUGUUAUUAGCGAGGAUCAUAUGUUUUAGUAACUGGGCACAUCUUGACGGUACCCAGUCAGAAAGCCACGGCUAACUACGUG